rnacentral:rRNA from 1 species
AGAGUUUGAUCCUGGCUCAGAUUGAACGCUGGCGGCAGGCCUAACACAUGCAAGUCGAACGGUAACAGGAAGAAGCUUGCUUCUUUGCUGACGAGUGGCGGACGGGUGAGUAAUGUCUGGGAAACUGCCUGAUGGAGGGGGAUAACUACUGGAAACGGUAGCUAAUACCGCAUAACGUCGCAAGACCAAAGAGGGGGACCUUCGGGCCUCUUGCCAUCGGAUGUGCCCAGAUGGGAUUAGCUUGUUGGUGGGGUAACGGCUCACCAAGGCGACGAUCCCUAGCUGGUCUGAGAGGAUGACCAGCCACACUGGAACUGAGACACGGUCCAGACUCCUACGGGAGGCAGCAGUGGGGAAUAUUGCACAAUGGGCGCAAGCCUGAUGCAGCCAUGCCGCGUGUAUGAAGAAGGCCUUCGGGUUGUAAAGUACUUUCAGCGGGGAGGAAGGGAGUAAAGUUAAUACCUUUGCUCAUUGACGUUACCCGCAGAAGAAGCACCGGCUAACUCCGUGCCAGCAGCCGCGGUAAUACGGAGGGUGCAAGCGUUAAUCGGAAUUACUGGGCGUAAAGCGCACGCAGGCGGUUUGUUAAGUCAGAUGUGAAAUCCCCGGGCUCAACCUGGGAACUGCAUCUGAUACUGGCAAGCUUGAGUCUCGUAGAGGGGGGUAGAAUUCCAGGUGUAGCGGUGAAAUGCGUAGAGAUCUGGAGGAAUACCGGUGGCGAAGGCGGCCCCCUGGACGAAGACUGACGCUCAGGUGCGAAAGCGUGGGGAGCAAACAGGAUUAGAUACCCUGGUAGUCCACGCCGUAAACGAUGUCGACUUGGAGGUUGUGCCCUUGAGGCGUGGCUUCCGGAGCUAACGCGUUAAGUCGACCGCCUGGGGAGUACGGCCGCAAGGUUAAAACUCAAAUGAAUUGACGGGGGCCCGCACAAGCGGUGGAGCAUGUGGUUUAAUUCGAUGCAACGCGAAGAACCUUACCUGGUCUCGACAUCCACAGAACUUUCCAGAGAUGGAUUGGUGCCUUCGGGAACUGUGAGACAGGUGCUGCAUGGCUGUCGUCAGCUCGUGUUGUGAAAUGUUGGGUUAAGUCCCGCAACGAGCGCAACCCUUAUCCUUUGUUGCCAGCGGUCCGGCCGGGAACUCAAAGGAGACUGCCAGUGAUAAACUGGAGGAAGGUGGGGAUGACGUCAAGUCAUCAUGGCCCUUACGACCAGGGCUACACACGUGCUACAAUGGCGCAUACAAAGAGAAGCGACCUCGCGAGAGCAAGCGGACCUCAUAAAGUGCGUCGUAGUCCGGAUUGGAGUCUGCAACUCGACUCCAUGAAGUCGGAAUCGCUAGUAAUCGUGGAUCAGAAUGCCACGGUGAAUACGUUCCCGGGCCUUGCACUCACCGCCCGUCA